CAAUAGCGUAUAUUAAAGUUGUUGCAGUUAGAACGCUCGUAGUCGGAUUUCGGGGCGGGCCGACCGGUCUACCGAUGGGUAUGCACUGGUCGGCGCGUCCUUCCUUCCGGAGACCGUCCCUACUCUUAACUGAGCGGGGGCGGGAGACGGGACUUUUACUUUGAAAAAAUCAGAGUGUUUCAAGCAGGCAGCUCGCUCUUGCAUGGAUUAGCAUGGGAUAAUGAAAUAGGACUUUGGUGCUAUUUUGUUGGUUUCGAACACCGAAGUAAUGAUGAGAAGGGACAGUCAGGGGCACUCGUAUUCCGCCGAGAGAGGUGAAAUUCUCAGACCAGCGGAAGACGAACCACUGCGAAAGCAUUUGCCAGGGAUGUUUUCACUGA
rnacentral:rRNA from 1 species